AUCGCAGUUAGCUUUGAAUUACUCUGAGCUGAUCCUCUCUACAAUUUAUUGAACUAAGUAUACAGGCUGAAUCCCGACCGAGAUCUAACAGAAGCACCGAAGAAGACCCGUUCGAUCUGUGUCACGCAAACGGUUUGACCCCCACAAACGCAUCAUUCGCGUCCAAGUCAACGAUCCUGAAAUGUUAAAAUUUCCUCUGCUAUGUACACUCUUACUGUACUGUUUGGGUGAAGUUCUGGGGACUCCCUUCGAUGAUGUAGAGGCCUAUGUGGACAAAUUCGAGAAUGGCAUCAAGGAACUGUUGGACCUGGGACCUCAGUAUGCCCCCCAAGCAGAUCUGGCCGAUAGGGGAGAGUACAAUUUGACGGAAGUUACUGGGG